UACAGAGGUCCCAAGCGUUGUUCGGAUUCACUGGGCGUAAAGGGUGCGUAGGCGGUCGGGUAAGUCUGAUGUGAAAUCUCACAGCUUAACUGUGAAACUGCAUUGGAUACUAUCCGGCUCGAGGAAUGGAGGGGAGACUGGAAUUUCCGGUGUAGCGGUGAAAUGCGUAGAUAUCGGAAGGAACACCAGUGGCGAAAGCGGCUUCCUGGUCCGACACCGACGUUCAGGCACGAAAGCGUGGGGAGCAAACAGG
rnacentral:rRNA from 1 species